rnacentral:lncRNA from 10 species
GGCGGAAGGUGGAAGGUGGAAGAAGGUGGAAGGAAGGUGGAAGGUGGAAGGCAGAAGGCGGAAGGUGGAAGGUGGAAGGUCGAAGGUGGAAGAAGGUCGAAGGUGGAAGGCGGAAGGCAGAAGGCGGAAGGUGGAAGGUGGAUGGUGGAAGGUACCAAAAAAAACAAAAAACAAAAAUUAGCCGAGCGUGGUGGCACACGCCUGUAGUUCAGCUGCUCAGGAGGCAGAGGUGGGAGAAUACCUUGAGCUUGGCAGGCAGAAAUUGCAGUGAGCUGCCACUGCACUCCAGCCUGGGCACCAGAGUAAGACCCUGUCUCAAAAAAAAAAAAAAAAAAAAAAAAAAAAAAAAAAAAAAAAAAGAAUAGGCAAAUCCAUAGAGACCAAAAGGAGAGUCGUGGUUCCAGUGCUGGAGGUGGGGAGAAUUGGGAGUGACUGAUAAUGGGUGAGGUUCCUUUCUAGGGUGAGGAAAAUGCUCUGGAAUUAGGUAGUGGCAAUGGUUGCACAGCCCUGUGGAUAUACCAGCACCAGUGAAUCGAAUACUCAGAUGGGCACUGAGAAUCUGAGGCUGGCCGACUUAUAGCCUCUACUCCUCUUUCCACUUCAACAUCUGGGGCUCUCCCUUCUCCCUACUUCCCAAAGCAUCUCCACUCCCUGUUUAAUUGUGACCAUCCCUAGAGGGCUGGCAACAGGUUUCUUUCCAAAGCAGCUCUGCAGGGUUUGCCCCGCCCCUCCCUCUCAUACCCAACCCCCUCCUCUUUGUACCCAGACCGUUUACUUAUUAAACCAAUUAAAUUAAAUGACUCACAUUGCACCCUUGGGCAUGAGGCGGGUAAACAGCUCACCAGAGUCUGACUUGCUCUUGAAAGGGCCCGUUUCCCUCCCAGCCCAGCCAACUCCCCUGACCAGCCCCCCAGCGUCCAACCCCCCCAUGGAGUGUCUCUCAGGUCACAGUAGGAAGAGGAUCGGGGGAGCUGCUAGCCCUUCCCAUUGUGCUUUCUCACCCCAAGGAAGGCCACACCCCCUCAAAGAGUUGACACAAUAGUCUUCUUAUUCCACUGCUUACAAAGCCAGCAGGCAGCUAGCUCAGCAUGGCAGAAAUCAUCUGGAGCCCUCUUGCCCGC